rnacentral:ncRNA from 1 species
AAAAGACUCAGUCCUAACCUUACCGUUAGUUCUUGCUAAACAUAUACAUGCAAGUAUCCGCGCCCCAGUGCAAAUGCCCUCAACCCUUCCAACCACCAAAGCAAGAGGAGCAGACAUCAGGCACACCCACCCAUCGCAGCCCAAGACGUCUUGCCUCGCCACACCCCCACGGACACCCAGCAGUAAUUAACAUUAAGCAAUAAGUGUAAACUCGACUUAGUUAUGGCAACUAACCCAGGGUCGGUAAAUCUUGUGCCAGCCACCGCGGCCAUACAAGAGACCCAAAUCAACCGUACUAAACGGCGUAAAGAGUGGUACCUCAAUAUCAAACCACCCUACAGUCAAAACAUGUCCAGGCUGUCAUAAGCCCACGACACUCAUAAGACCACCCCACAAAAUGACUAUAGCCCGCACGAUCAAUCAAACCCCACGAAAGCUAGGACACAAACUGGGAUUAGAUACCCCACUAUGCUUAGCCCUAAAUCCAAGUACUUACCCCACUAAAGUACUCGCCUGAGCACUACGAGCGCAAACGCUUAAAACUCUAAGGACUUGGCGGUGCUUCAAACCCACCUAGAGGAGCCUGUUCUAUAAUCGAUAACCCACGAUAGACCCAACCACCUCUUGCCAAACCAGCCUACAUACCGCCGUCUCCAGUUUACCUUCACUGAAAGCAUAACAGUAAAUACAAUAGCCCCCCAACCGCUAACAAGACAGGUCAAGGUAUAGCCCAUGAGGCGGAAGAAAUGGGCUACAUUUUCUAACAUAGACAAUACUUCAACGAAAAGAGAGGUGAAACCCUCCCUAGAAGGCGGAUUUAGCAGUAAAGAGGAACAUCAGCAAGCUCCCUUUAAACAAGCCCUGAAGCACGUACAUACCGCCCGUCACCCUCCUCACAAGCUACUAUCACCCCAUUCAUAAUUCCCCACCCACAGCCAACAGAAGAGGCAAGUCGUAACAAGGUAAGUGUACCGGAAGGUGCACUUAGCAUAC